UACGGAGGGUGCGAGCGUUGUCCGGAAUCAUUGGGCGUAAAGGGCGCGUAGGUGGCGCGGCAAGCGUGCGGUGAAAGCUCGGGGCUCAACCCCGAGUCGGCCGUGCGAACUGCUGUGCUUGAGCACUGUAGAGGCAGGCGGAAUUCCGGGUGUAGCGGUGGAAUGCGUAGAGAUCCGGAAGAACACCGGUGGCGAAGGCGGCCUGCUGGGCAGUGGCUGGACACUGAGGCGCGACAGCGUGGGGAGCAAACAGG
rnacentral:rRNA from 1 species